rnacentral:rRNA from 1 species
UACGAAGGGUGCAAGCGUUACUCGGAAUUACUGGGCGUAAAGCGUGCGUAGGUGGUGAGUUAAGUCUGUCGUGAAAGCCCCCGGGCUCAACCUGGGAAUGGCGAUGGAUACUGGCUCGCUAGAGUGCGGUAGAGGAGAGUGGAAAUUCCCCGGUGUAGCAGUGAAAAUGCGUAGAGAUCGGGAGGAACAUCAGUUGCGAAGGCGGCUCUCUGGACCAGCACUGACACUGAGGCACGAAAAAGCGUGGGGGGAGCAAAACAGG